rnacentral:snoRNA from 1 species
GAGGAGGCUGUGAUGUUGAUAAACUACCUAUUUUCUGAAGGGAAUCUCCCUUCUGAUUAUAAAAAACCAAUGGAUCCUUCUGAGCCCUCCU